AUAAACAAGGUCAGGUUCAUUCUCAGGGCAUCCUGUAAGACAGUCGGAAGAUACUAGCCCUCUUGGGGCCUUGUGGUAUAGGAAGAAGAGGAUAGAAUAUUACAAAGAGGAGAAAAAAAAAGAGGAUUUUUCUUUCUCUGCUGAAGAGAAGAACAGAGAAAAGAAAAUGGCAUAUUGAUGAGUACAAACCAUUGAAAAAGAAAAGCAGCAAGUGAUAUCUUCCAUUCAAAUUGGGUGGAGCACAAAGAAAAUGUGUCCAGCUGCAGACAUCCUUUGCAACUCUCCUGCCCUAAAAUUUUUGCCAAUUGGAAUUAUUCCCUGACCUGCCAAUACACAUCUACCCCUUGCCUUCACUGUA